rnacentral:misc_RNA from 1 species
GUGGGAGGGGGCUUGCCCCCGAUGGUGGAGUCAGCCUGUGUAUUUUUUAGCUGAUGCACCGCUAUCGGGGGCAAGCCCCCUCCCAC